rnacentral:tRNA from 1 species
GCCUGGGUGGCUCGGUCAGUUGAGCGUCCGACUUUGGCUCAGGUCAUGACCUUGCAGUUCGUGGGUUCGAGCCCCACAUCAGGCU